GACGAACGCUGGCGGCGUGCCUAAUACAUGCAAGUAGGACGCAGUUGCGAACGGGUGCGUAACGCGUAGGUCAAUACAUAUUAGAGGGGAAUAACUAUUGGAAACGAUAGCUCAUACCGCAUACUAGUAGAUGGAGCUGCGUUGUAUUGGCUAGUCGGUAGGGGAAUGGCCUACCUAGGCAACGCUACAUAGCCGACCUGAGAGGGUGAUCGGCCACACUGGGACUGAGACACGGCCCAGACUCCUACGGGAGGCAGCAGUAGGGAAUCUUCGGCAAGGGGGGGAACCCUGACCGAGCAACGCCGCGGUAGUGAAGAAGGUUUUCGGAUCGUAAAGCUCUGUUGUUAAGGAAGCGGUACUUAACCAGAAAGGGACGGCUAACUACGUGCCAGCCGCCGCGGUAAUUC
rnacentral:rRNA from 1 species